rnacentral:lncRNA from 1 species
CGUCGAUUCGAAGUUGAUGAAAUUGAAGAGAAUGGUAACGAUUGGAGAGAACGACAAAGUGAUUAGAGAGAAUGAUUUAGGGAUUGAAGGAAUUGGAGAGAUGGGAUUGACGGCCACAUUCAAGAGUUAGGGUUCUUGCGUGAGUUUUUCCAUUUCAGUGAGUAAGGUUUUUUUUUUGGAAUAAAGUGAGUGAGUAUUUCUUUUAUUUGAGUGACUGAAUAUUAGAGCCAAAUAUUUCAUCAGCGGUAAGGGAAAUGGUGCUAGCGCCAUUUACAAUUAAAACAUUGCGACGGUUCGAAAAACUGUCGCAUAAACCGUUGCAGUUAUCAUAAAAAAUGCACAUUGCGACGGUUAUUUUCAAAUAUCACAAUGUAAGUGUCGCAAAGUGACAAUUUUCUUGUAGUGA